rnacentral:ncRNA from 12 species
GCCGUCCGGGUCUGUGGUUGAAAGUCCAAGCCAGCUGUGGGCGAAAGGAUCCACGUAAGCUGCCUGCAAGGAACAGGGCAGUGAUCAUGGCACAGUUUAGAAGUAAGUCCUCCGGAAACCGGAUCAAGGCGAGUGUGGGGUCAAAGACCAGGUCAGCCGGACGGC